CGCAAACUUCACAAGAAUUACCCUUAGUGUAUGUAACACAACCUCUUAAAGAGAUAUUCACACUUUACCACUUCUGUGUAGUCUGGGUGUACAUCGAAGUGGUAACGUAUGACUAUCACUUUAAGAGGUUGUGUUACAUACACUAAGGGUGAUUCUUGUGAAGUUU